rnacentral:tRNA from 1 species
AAUUAAUUAGCUUAUUUAAAGCAUGUAUUUUGAAAAUACAAGAUAGAUUAUAAAAAAUUUAUUAAUUU